CUGAAGGUCUGAGCUCAGGACCUGGAACAAGGGUCUGGCAGGGCAGCCUCACCCUGGGAGAGCUGGGGCUCUCCAGGAGCACAGGUCCCAGGCUACAAUCAGAGGACCAGCCUGAAGGAUCCUCUUUACAAGGAACAAUGAUGAGUAAAGAGGUAUGUGCUCGGUGGCUCCUGCCUGUCAUCCUAGCACUCUGGAAGGCCGAGGUGGAUGGAGUGCUCAAGCUAUCAUGCCACAGCACUCUCCCCGGGGCAACAAAGUGGACUCUGUCUCAAAACAAACAAAAAAAAGGUCCUGCAGGGCAAUAACAGACCCACCCAAACCAAGGAACUGGCUCAGCUUGUCUUGGACCCUCCAAUCAUGUUUCCAAUACCUGACCCACGUAGACAGUGGCUCAUAGGACCCAUGGCUCUGCCCCGUAACCAGCCAAUUAGCAGACCCUGAUUGCCUAAGCUUAUGCCCACCAAACUGUCUUUAAAAACUCUGUCUCCACAGUUCUUGGGA